UACGGAGGGUGCAAGCGUUAUCCGGAUUUACUGGGUUUAAAGGGUGCGUAGGUGGGUUGGUAAGUCAGUGGUGAAAUCUUCGAGCUUAACUCGGAAACUGCCAUUGAUACUAUCAAUCUUGAAUUAUCUGGAGGUAAGCGGAAUAUGUCAUGUAGCGGUGAAAUGCUUAGAUAUGACAUAGAACACCCAUUGCGAAGGCAGCUUACUACGGAUAUAUUGACACUGAGGCACGAAAGCGUGGGGAUCAAACAGG
rnacentral:rRNA from 1 species